rnacentral:lncRNA from 10 species
CUUCUUGAUCUCUGCCUUGAAGGCCUCCGCCUCGCCAUUCUGGUCGUCCUUGGCCAGCAGGUCCAUGAGAUGGGGAAAUUGAGGCAGAGAAGCCAAGACAUGUGCUAAAGGUCAUGCAGGCUAUGAAUGGAGCUGGAAUGUGAACGCAGGCCAUAUGACCCCAGAGCCCAUGUUCUUGAACCCUUAGAAAGACAGCAGCAACACACCUGGUGCAGCAGCUGCUUAGUUGGAGUGGCUGACAAGGAGAGAAUGAUUUCCAGGAAGAGCGGAACACAUAUGGAAGGCCUUAGCUUAUCUUUAGCGCCUCAUACACCCGUUCUGGACUUCAGAAAGGCCAGUGAGUGGGAUUAGGCCUCAGAGAUAGGAUGUCAGUCCCAGUGAGGGAUGGCCUAGAGCAUUCUUUAAUUCUUUCCUUUGGGUCACACAUAAGAAACAAUUUUCCAGCACUGAUGAGUGUUAUUAACAAUGAGAUGGGAUAGAAUUUAGUUUUCCCUAUGGCUGUGCUUCAAAAAUAGAAAAGCUGUCUUUUCUCUGGAAUGAUUGAAUGAAGCUCUGGGGAGGAAAAGGUGGAUUGGCAGAUCUCUUAAAGGAAGCUUCUCCUUCUAGGCACUAUUCUAAGGCUUAAUAUUUUAACUCCCUAUAUUAACCUAGUUCAACUAAACAGUGAUCUGAGUAAUUUUAUUUUUAUUAAAGCUCAGAUCAAAAUGCCAUUAACAUUGAUUGAGAAAAUCAAAGGAAUCUUUGAUGUGAGUGGUUAAAUUGCUGAAUUAUUUCAGUCCCAUACCCUCACAGCAUGAGUACCUGAUCUGAUAGACUUCUUUGGAAUUCCUUUUUUGUUUGAGACAGAGUCUUGCUCUGUCGCCCAGGCUGGAGUGCAGCGGUGUGAUCUCAACCAUUGCAACCUCCACCUCCCAGGUUCAAGUGAUUCUCAUGCCUCAGCCUCCUGAGUAGCUGGGAUUACAGAUGUGCACCACCAUGCCCGGCUAAUUAUUUUGUAUCUUUAGUAGAGAUGAAGUUUUGCCAUGUGGGCCAGGCUGUUCUCAAACUACUGGCCUCAAGUGAUCUGCCCGCCUCGGCCUCCCAGACUGCUGGGAUUACAGGCGUGAGGCACCGUGCCUGGCUGGGAUUCCAUAAUAAAUCCCUCUGUGUCUAUUUCUUUUUUCAAAUAUAAUUUUCUUCAUUUCCAAACAUCAUCUUUAAGACUCCAAGGAUUUUUCCAGGCACAGUGGCUCAUACCUGUAAUCCCAUUGCUUGGAGAGGCCAAGGUGGAAGUUCAUUUGAGGCCAGGAGUUCGAGACCAGGUGGGCAACAUAGUGAAACCUUGUCUCUACAACAUAAAAAAAAAAAUAAAACCCUAAGGAAAUAAUGGUGCCUCACUACCUUUCAAAGCUUUUGACCUUCAAGUCAGAAAAUAAAUUAUUUUUAGGAAAGGCAUCUCAACCUUAUUUACAAAUGAACUAUUUGUCAAGAGCAACCUCUAUAAGGAUAAUAGGACUUCCUGGUUUGAAAUGCAGCAUGAACAAUUCUCAGAGGCUCCUGGAAGACUAAGAAUGAGGUUUCUUGAUCCGCCUUCCCUCGGCAUCUUCUCACUCUCUUCCCUCCUUCUCAGAAGCUGUGUGCAGCAAUGGGCUAUGCAACUGGUUUCACUGGUGCCUGGUAGAACUUUUAAUUCCUCCCUGUCAGCACAUCCCUAGUCCACUUUCAUAGUUUGGAUAAGGACUGGAUAAGCAGCUGAACUUCUGGGGACUUUUCCAAAUGAAAUUCAACCUUUAGACCUUUGGAGGUUUACCCAGUCUUCCUCACUACCCGAAGAUGAGUUUGGAACAAAUUUUCUCUUAAUGGAUUCUAUUUGUGGGUAGGAGAGGUAAUGACUGCCUUGCUCAGAGUCAUGAGCAUAACUUCAAAUAAGGAAAAAGAGCCUCGCAGGAAUGUGAGAAUAGAUGCGAUCCUGAGGAAGGUGUGUCUGAGGAGGUGCUGGGAGGUUCUGAUCGGCUGUUGAAGGCAGAUACUGUAUCUCACGUGACAGAAGUCACCUCCUGACAUCAGAGUUGUGUUUGAGUGGUAAUUUAAAAAAUAAUAUAGCUGACAAGGAAAUGUGGAAGGCAUUACGUUGCAAUACAGUGAAAUGAACAUACAACAUUCAAGAUCAAUUACCGGGUACUGAUUAGCUGGGAGAAAGGCAAUAAAACUUUAAAAAUAGAAUUGGUAGAAAUAGCACCCUGUCAAGGUGGGACUGACUAUGCCUCCUGCUGGUUUGUUGCGAGGAAUUCUUUUUUUGGGAAAAUCCUGUUGAAUUGUGUGGCUUGUGAAUCUGGCUCUAGAACUGUUAAUGUUAUAAGAAUUGAAAGAGGACUAUUUAAAAAUACCAAGACAUCUUUUAAAAUUCCUAUUUUUAGAACAGCUACUUGUCAUUAAAAUAAAUCAUUCCAUUUCUAUUUGUCCAGGUUACUGCUUUCACAGCAGGGCCAGGGCUAUGGUGAAGUGUGGGAGGUGCCCAGUCCCCUUCACUGCAGUCAUGGCUCUGUUUCAUGCCACAUGUGUUAUUUUAUAAGUGGUUAAGCCCCACAUAGGCAUGCAAACAUGGUACAUCUCUAUGUAUUGGUUUUGGUAAUGUUGUAAAUAAUUGGGAGAAUACAUUAAAAUUUGGUAAUAGUGCUCCUUUGGACUCAGUCUCUUUUUUUUUUUUUAAGACAGAGUUUCGCUCUUGUUGCCCAGGCUGGAGUGCAAUGGCAUGAUCUUGGCUCAUUGCAACCUCUGCCUCCUGGGUUCAAGCAAGUCUCCUGCCUCAGCCUUCCUGAGUAGCUAGGAUUACAGGCAUGUGCCACUAUGCCCGGCUAAUUUUGUAUUUUUAGUAGAAAAGGGGUUUCUCCAUGUUGGUCAGGCUGGUCUUGAAUUCCCGACCUCAGGUGAUUCCAGUUCUAAUUCCCCAACAGAGUUGUCUUGGUUGCAGUGAGAUAUAUAUAUAUAUAUAUAUAUAUAUAUAUAUAUAUAUAUAUAUAUAUAUAUAUUUUGAGAUGGGGUCUCGCUCUGUCGCCCAGUCUGGAGAGCAGUGGCGCGAUCUUGGCUUGCAGUGAGACAUUUUUAUCCAUCCUGAUCACAGCACUUGCCUCCGGGCUCAUGAAGCCCAGCAUGUUACUGCUGUUCUGAACGUCUCUGCUUUUUGAGAGACAUGUUUAAUGAAUUGGGAGUAUCUGUGCACAUUGCAUUCACUUAAAAAGGGAAAAAUACCUUUUAACAGUUAUAGCUACAGAAAUUCAAUUUAGUUUAUUUAGGAGGAAAUGAGAGACUUGAAUUGUAGGUGUGAAAUCUUACAAUCUUUCAGAAUGAUUUGGUUUGGGGGAUGGUUGGAACUGCAUGGAAUUCCUUCAGCCAAAAUAAUUUUUGUGAGCACAUUCCCAAGCUCACGAUCAUGUUUUGAUAAGAAAAAUCCCUUUCUCCACAAGUUCUCAGGUCCCACUCAUUGGCCCCUGCCCUCAUUUCUGGAACCUAUGUUAGGCAGUUAUGUGGCUCAGUUCUUGGUGAUAUGUUUUCAAUUUGAGUCAACUUGAUGAGAGAAAAAUUACUAAAAAGUGGGAAUGAGCUGUGAGGUGAACAGGGUUUUCCUAUCAAAGUGGAGGUAUUUUUAAAAGCAUUUAUUAUUUCAAACUCAAACAUUUAUAGAAAGCCAUGAGUGUGAAGUGUAUGAUUACCAGUUGUGGCUUGCUGCAUUGAAAAAUUCAAGUUCAUAGGAAAUAUUUACUGAGGCUCUGGUUUGCAAGCAGUUUGUUCAAGAGAACAAUUUGGUCCAGAAGGCAUGUCAGCCAAAAAAGAGUUUACUAAUAUAGUAGUAACAGGCAAUUAGGAUUCAUAAGCAUCGCCAUGGCUGAGACAUGAUUUAAGGUCUUAGAUGGAAAGAGUUCUGUUAUUAAGAUAACAGAAUUUAAAUGCUGUAUCUGUCUAGGUCUUAUGCAUGUCAGAAGUGAGAAAACUACUUCUUCAUUUUCCAUUUUUAUGAGCUCUGAUGUAACACAGUUUUUUUUUUUUUCUGUGUUGAAAAUGAUGAAUAUAGUUCUUGGCACAUUUGUUCCAUAGUAAAGAAGAAUUUAACUUGCAAGUGAAAAACCUCUGCCUUUGGCCAUGGAUUAAAAAGAUGUUAUAUGAUGAAGUUUACUUCCUAAGGAAAGGUUAGUUUUGUGUGGCACUUUCUGAAAAUUUGUUUGGGACAUAUACAAUUCUUUUGUAUAAAUUCUGGAGGUCUGAGGAAAAUUACUUAAUCACAUUAGAUGAGAACAUUUCUUUUUGUGUGAAUUGAGUUCUUAUCAAGGUUCUGAUGUUUUUUCUCAUGUAUUUGCCCUUGGGUUCAUCUCAAUACAAUGCAUUUGUGUACUAUUGAAUAAAAAGCAGGCUGCAACAGUAUUUAUGACAUAUGAUCCUAUAUACACGUAAAAUCUUGUGUGUGUGUUUGUGUGUGCACAUGCAUAUAAAAAAAACUACAUUGUUAAAGUUGUUAAUAGUUAACUCCCGGUGGUGGGUUUUAAGUGAUUAUUAUUUUCUUUGUAUAAGAAAAAUAGUGCACAGUUUUCUUUUGUUGUUACGAAAGGUGUCAUACAUUUGAAAGAGGACAUAUGCACAGUUUAAAUAAUAAUAACAUAGUGAAUACCCACUGCUUGGCUGAAAAAAAUAAUUUAUUACUCUGUUGCAGAAGGCAAGCCUUCCUUCUGCCCCUGCCUCUGUCAUGGAGGUAGCUACUUGCUUGAAUUUUGUGCUAAUCAUGUCUUUGCUUUCUUAUAUAGUUUAGCCAGCUGUGAAUGUCUCCAUAAAACAUACACAGUUUUAUUUUGAUUGUUUUUGAACUUUAAAUAAAUGAAAUCAUACUGGAUA